AACAUUCUUGAUGGUUUGUAAUGAAUAUGCCUUUCCAUUUCUUUCAGGAGUGUUGCCUCCCGCUAGUCAGGCAGGGUGGAGAGGGGGCCACACAGAAUCCAGUGACACCUCAGCUCAAGAUUAUCAAUUGCUUCAAAAAUUACAAUUUAUCAGCGCCUCCCACCAGUACAUGCACUGGCCAUCACGUCGCCCCGCCGUCUGUCCGGGAUGUGGCAAGUUCUUUAAAUUCAAGUACAAUAUGAAGAUCCAUCUGAAAAAGUGUGUGGCAGCUCAGGGUCAUCUGGGAGGUGGGAUAUUAGGUGGCAGUGGUGGGGAUGAAGUGGCUGCGCAUCCGUCACUCCCGCCACCUCCACCACCGCCACCACACCCACAUGGCGCUCACUCCACAUCCUGACUGGCAGUGCCAAGCCACGAUGCCCCGUCCACUAACAUCUCAACACCACCUCCUCCAUUGUCUCCGCCUCCGCCGUUGCUACCCCUGUCAUCAAAUCUGCCGCAUUCACCUUCCCUGUUGGCAACUUUAGCUGCAAGAAGACAGGCUACGGCAGGGGAAAGGAAAUGGUAUCCAUACUAGGGCAUCUUGGCAGUGCUGUGUAUGGAGUGUAACGCUGAACCCAAGAGGAUGGCUUACCUAGGACAAAACAUGGGGCCCCGAGUGGAGGCAGAAACAACCCUGUUGUCGGUCACCUUACAGCCUUCUUGGUUACCCUGCACUUGUAGAGCUUAUAAUACACAUUGUGAUUGUUGACGUAGAGAAGGCUGCUGUGUGACGUGACUAGUAGAAAAACGAGGGGUUGAAACAGGGUCGACAUUGUCUUCCAGCUUCCUGUCAUGCGCUGCAAUCUGCUCAUGAAAGAUCAGCUGAGAGUGAAUUCCAUGUGGUGAACGUGUAAACACCAAGGUUUUAGCGGAUUAGAUGUGGCAGCAUAGCUGUCCUGUUAUGUAAUUGACGGUUAAUGGUUUAGUUGUAAUGAGUUAAUGAGUUAAGGAAGUCAAGAUGUUAAUUAUUAAGUACUGGGAGCUUGAUUUUGUGAACUGUACAGCAGCAGCUUUCAAAAGAUGGACGUGCCAAAUGCGGGAUGGGAUUAUUAUUCCUUUUGGCCUGGUGUGGAAGAAACCUUGAGCAGUGGGCCGUAUCCCGCAGAGUAUGUACGCUAGCCAGCAGUCAUCAAAGCAGCUGGUAUGACCACAGCCACAGCAGCAGCAGUAACAGCAAGCAGGCAUCAGUCAGCCAGGUUCAGCAUAACAAAUCAAAUUGGCAGCAAAUAGCAGCAGCAGCAGCAGCAGCAACAACAGUCAGGCUCAGUACAAAUAAUACGGGUAUACAUUGCUCGUUCCCUUGCUGCCCUGCACAUGGGGCGCAGCUCGUCAGGUGAAACAAUCAAUGUGCGACCUCAGAGACACUUGCUCACUCUAUGGCAGGGAUCAGUACCUCACAGAGGUGGAGGUAACAUGCUUUUGCCCUUUGUGCCAUCACUAAAACUACAUAAUUGAGAGGGUGGUGACACAGGAGUCAAGAGCAGUGCUUCUUCCUCGACAACAAUAUUACCUCAUUAUGCGCUUUAAACAGGGUGGACAGAAGCACAGGGUUUCACUGUAGUCGGGCCCAAUUGUGCUGUGUUCACUCUGCCACAUAAAUUAUUUUCCUACAGUACCUCAAUGCUUAUGUCAGGGUUACAAGAACCUGACACAUCCAAAUUAGUCCGUAAUGCAUUUAUACAGUUUAAACAUUACCUACAAUGUUCCUCAGGUAUUUUUUAUGACUUCUCUGUGGUCCACAGGUCUGAAUUCCUUGGGAGAGUGUGUGGCCCCCAAUCUCAGCUGCAGCUGUCUGCUGGGCACCAGGGUCAGGGCAGGCCAGCCAGCGUACCACACACUACUUGUUGCCCAUUGUUUGUAGUAUUAUUGUUGUUGUUGAGAUUGAAGAACUAUUAUUUUAAUGGUAGUGUGGUGGCUUCGUCUGCCCUGCUCCAGGUUAUUGGGUGAAGCCUAGCAGCAGCAGCAGCAGCAACAGUAAAGCAGUGGUGCGGCCACUGCGCCCACGUACAAUCAGGGUGUCGUCCUCUCCCAAGGCACAAUCUACCUCACAGUGCAAACAUAUUGUAUCCUGUUGUAUAAUAGGAGCACUUUGUAUUGUAGCUACUGACCGACCUACCUAUCUUCCAUUCUCUCCACCUGGUGAUCAAAGUGACAAAAACUUAAACCGGUCCCCUGUUAGCUUCCAUGACUGGCCACUGAUCUGUGCUUAUGGGUUACACUGAGCAAAGGGCUCUAGCUUUCCACAUGCUUCAACCCCUUUACACAGUCACCCUCCAGCACAUGAGUAAAACCUAUGAAAAUUCUAUGCUUUAAGAGAGAAAAUAAUCAAUUUUGAAAUUGUGGAAGGUCAUGUGAAGCUAUAUUUUUCUGUGUUCAUAAAAUUGGCGAUAUGUAAAGCACUUAUUAGUAGUUAAGUAAAUUUUCCCUCUUUGUGAAUGCUUUUGGUUUAAAAGAAGAGAAAAACUUUGGCAAGCCUUCUUUUUUCUGUAAUUAAUCGGAAAGUAAUUUAUAUAAUUAGUAAGCAGAUUUGAAAUGUAAUUUGGAAUAUUAAAGAAAUUAUAUAUACACCAUAUGUAUGUGUAUGUAAACAUAUAUAUGUAUGUUUGUAACAAUCAUACACAUGUAUAUAGAAUUGCAGGCAGAUGAUGGGUAGUAUACUUGAUUAUUGUAUGACUACUCAGUAAGCCUGUAAUGAUUUUUGUUUGCAUACUAAAUGUUGACUUCUUCAUCCACUACUUUUGCAAGUUUUAUGAUUUUCUGCUAUCUUUUUUUACCCUUUAUCUUUUCAUUUCUUAAUAUUUAUGGAAAAGAAAAAUCUCCCUUCACUGUAUAUUGAAUUGCAUGUUGUGGUGGCUUGAUAUGAAAGAAGGUACAGCAUUUGGUAGCAUCCGUGGUUUUCCACGCUAAAACACGAAAGAGGGCUCUAAAUUUUAGUCUUGGCAUUCAUUAACAGGGAUUUUUCUUAUGGUGUGAAAGCAUGGAUAUAAAUCUUGUCACUUUGACAUAAUUGUAAUUGGGUUUAUGUACUAAGAGGAUUGAGAUUUAUGACAAUGUAUUUCUGAAAAGUAUAUGACAGACGUAGGUCUAUAAUUUUACUAAUUGUGUGCUGUGCGAAAGUGCUCUCUAACAACCAGUGCUAAGCAAAAAAAAAAAAUGUAAUCAUUCAUUGUUGUAAUCAUUUAUUGAGUUACAAGUAUCUGAUUUUAUUUCAUAAUUAUCAUGUUUUUUAGAAGUAUGGUAAUUAUUCUGAUAUUGAUUUUUUCAUCCCAUUUUUUAUGCAGUGGAGUGAGCAUUAUCGUACAGUUCAAACACCCAGUGUUAUGCUGGCUAGUGGUACCUUCUAUUGGUAUUUCAUGAGUUGCCUUAGAAAUUUAUUCAACAUUCUAGUCUUUAUCCUUAUCUUUCCAAUGAUCAUUUUCCCUGAAACUGUUUCCUGCCUUUCUUUUUUCCUGUCCUCUUUCUUUGUCAUUAGAAUCAUAAUUUUGUAAUUUUGCUUUAUGGCUGCACGAAGUGUGUGCUGUUGACUCAUGAACAACUUUGAUAAAAGGAUCACUAGCAAGCUCACAUCUGCAACAUAAGGCACACAUCACCAAGUGUUCAUCCCAGCCUGGGCACUGCUUGUCCUUGUGAAGGAUCCCCAAAGAGGCACAGGCUUUUAGACAAUCUCCUGGAGAUCUGUGGGUAUUUUUAUUGUUUGUCCUUGCAGUCUUGCUUAUAAGCAGGCAUUGCAGGAUUUUAACAUUAAUACCUUCAUUGAGCUCCAGGCUGUGGUCCAAAGUUUGUGUGGUAAUACUAAAGAUAAAAGAGUUUUAUGAUGGCAGUAAGCCAAACAUGUGGUGUCUAAGUGCACAGAUCUGAUAGUCGAGAUGUGAUGGAGUGGAGCUGUGAGACAGCACGCAUCCCCAUAUAUUUAUCAUGGGGAGUAAAACAGCACUCAGUGCGUCCCAGUCAGUAAGGUAGCCAGGCGCAGAUUGGCUGGAAUGGACCUUGGACAUUUGGUGUCAUAAUUGUUGCUUAUCUUACUGUAUCCAAGGGGGUUGGGACUAAGGCUGGCUCAGGUUGUCAGGCACAUGAUGUGUCUAGAAUUAUGAUUCCAGUACAGACUAGCCCGCUCCUCUCCCCCCUUCCUGUAUUGCAAUUAGGUAGACACUUUCGUGGCCAGAGUAGUUUUAUUUUAUCCAUAACCAGUACUAGGAAAGUACUUGAUGAUUACAUAGUUAUUUCUUGUUUUAUUGUACAUUGUAUGAAGUUUGGCACUGGAUUUUGAUAUUUUAUUUUGAAAAUGGAAAUCCAGAUAACUUUUUGAGUUUGCCAUGAAGGUGUCCUACCCUCAGUGGUGCUAAAACACUGAAGCACGGCUCUGAUACCAGUGAACCUUCGGCACGCGGGCACAUGAAAGUUGCCACAGGUUGAAUGAUGCCUUUAGUUUCUUCUGUAAAAUUACCUUUUGAAUAAAAACACUGUUUCUAGCAGUCUUCACAUUAGUGUACUACAAUGCAUUGUGAUAUUCUGUUGAUGUUAAGUAAGAAAUUAUUAUUAUUUUAUUAUAUGUAGCCUAAGGGAAUAAAGAAAAUUAGCUCUUGGCUAUGACAGAUAUUGAUAUUUUCAAUCUGAGAAGAAGCACAGUAUGCUACAUGAAUUUUGUAGGUUCUGAAACUUUAAGAUUGAUGACAUGUUAGCUUGAUAAUCAUUUUCAAUUUCUUGAUGUGUAAUUGCCUCAUAUUAAGACUUCUUUAUUUAGGCACCAGGGCUAAAUACCCUAUUAAAUCAGUUUAUAAUCAGGAAGAGUCAUUAUGAGAGCUAUUUUCAGUGGAGAAAUUGAAUUACUGAAUAUGCAUUUCAGUUUAACUCAGUGUUCCUUAUAGCUUUUUUAUCAGUUUAUUUUUACCUCCUUUAUUGUUUUAUUUCACAUUACAUUAUAAGAGUUCCUAAUCUUUUUCAGUACUUUUAUGCCUACAUAAGGCCAUCUCAGUUUGCUCUCAACUUGUGAAUGGAUGAAUGGGAUUGAUUGUGAAUAAGAUGAACAGUGAAUGACAAUUUGUGCUCAAGGGAGGGCUCUGUUUACAGCCUGUAAUCCCAGUUAGUAAUUAAAAUGUUCAUAGUUAACUGUUUGUGCUGUAUGAGAAUUUAUUGAGUGACUGUAGGUGUGUGUUUGUGUGUCUUUUUGAAGAUGAAUGGUGGCAUUGGUGUGCUCGCGGGCCGGUCCAACGACGGGAGUGCUGGUCGGUAUUCUGAGUAACUAGUAGCAGUCUGAUGGUGUUAGAUGUGUUCUUCCCACUAGCUUUGGCAGGGGGGAGACAUUCAUCUGAACGUCAGUAUUUUCUGCAGUGUGGUGUGACAUGUUCGGGGAGAGGGACCUUCUUGAGAGAAAAGAUGGCAUUCCCUCAAAAUUAUGGGUAUAUCUUGGAAAGAGAUUUUGUCUACCUUUUGUGUUGCCACUGUUUUAUUGUGUAUGUAUAUUAUUAUUUAUACAUAUAUGUAGUACAACCUCUUACAUCCAUCCUAUAUAGGAUUGAAGUAUCCUUCAACCUCCCCCCCCCCCCCCCCACUUUUACUCUUUCAUAUCUUUAUUUUUAUACAGAAAUACAUAUGUAUAUACAUCCAGUCACUCAUGUGCA
rnacentral:misc_RNA from 1 species